AACAGCUUAGCUCAGCGGUAGAGCAACGGUUUUGUAAACCGUCGGUCGUCGGUUCGAUUCCGACAGCUG
rnacentral:tRNA from 1 species